ACUAUACUGCCUACAUGGUGGGCAACCGGUCAGUAUCACCGUUCUUCGUCGAAGGUAUCCAUUCGUCUCAGUCAUGCAAGCAAAGCUCUUUCUCUUCGUUUUUCUGCUCCCUGUCAACGCUUUACCAGAUUUUUACGGCGACCGUUUUCCGAAACACCCAAACGACACAACUUGUGAAGACCCGGUUCCGGGGAAGUGUCCUGCAGGCACCGAAGACCGCGUGUGGACUUUCGUUAAACUGGGAGGUGGUGGAUCUUGCACAAGCGUACCCGUCUGCUAUCCAGAGAACACCAUAAACCAGUUUCAUACUAAGAAAGCGUGCACGGAUAUAUGCAUUAACUACGUUAUCAUGCAUUGACGGAAGAACUUCUGGCGAGCUCUUGAAAUGCUGUCAAGAAGACUUGACCCCAGAAUUCGAGAAAAAUUCAGAAUAAAUGAGUUUUAAAUACAAA